rnacentral:rRNA from 1 species
AACGUAGGAGACAAACGUUAUCCGGAGUUACUGGGCGUAAAGGGCGUGUAGGCGGUUGGUUAAGUUCGGCGUGAAAGCUCUCGGCUAAACCGGGAGAGGUCGUCGGAUACUGGCCAACUUGAGGAUGGUAGAGGCGUGUGGAAUUCCGGGUGUAGUGGUGAAAUGCGUAGAGAUCCGGAAGAACACCGGUGGCGAAGGCGGCCUGCUGGGCAGUUUAGCUGACACUGAGGCGCGACAGCGUGGGGAGCAAACAGG